rnacentral:lncRNA from 10 species
AAGCCCCAGCCAACAUGCCCGACUAAUUUUUUUGUAUUUUUAGUAGAGACGGGGUUUCAUCAUGUUGGCCAGGCUGGUCUUGAACACCUGACCUCACGUGAUCCACCUGCCUUGGCCUCACAAAAUGCUGGCAUUACAGGCAUGAGCCACUGUGCCAGGCCCUACAUCUGUUUUAAGUUUAGUUGUUACUUUCAUUCUCUCACUUUUUCUCACUGUUAGUUAGAUGUGCGCACAAUGUACAUAUACCCUAGAGUGAGUUAAGUGCACUGAACCCCAGCAUGUGAUGGCAGGAACUCUGGACAGGUUUUGCACACAGCUUAAGUUCCCAGCUGUUCCAUGUCCUGCUAUUUGACUUGCUUGAGCUGGUGGAGCUUAAAACAAGAAUCUUUCUAGGCUGUCCUGAUACUCUUCAGAGUUGUGAGCAUUGUGUGAGAUAACAUACCGGAAGGCACACAGAAAUAUAAGGUGAUAGUAUUAUGCACACUGUGAUUGAUAUGAUAUUUAUAUUUCAAAUUCCAAAUUUGCUUUCAGUUGGUUGCCUUUUGGGUUCUGAGAUGACUUCAUCUCUUACCAAUGUUUCCUGGGCUAUAAGUUGCUAGGAUUUGACUUUCUCUUGCAGAGGUGACACACAGCGAGUAGUCACUUGUCAAGGUGAGUCAACACUAGGGGGAACCAGGCAUUGAGCAAAUUGAAGUGGAGGUUUUCAGUGAUGCCAUCUCUCUUCUUCCUUCUCUAUGUUCAUCUUCUCAGGAGCCUCCCAUGCCCUCAGGGUGGCCGCUGGAUUUUCAGAGCCCAAUUCACUGGGCUGUAACUACAUUUUCCAUGAACUCAGACAGACAGCCUCAUCAACAAAUAAAUGAACUAAACAAAGCCAAAAACCUUCUGUUCUAUGUCCCAUUAGCUUUCAGGUCUAGAUGACAUGUUAGAAAACUGCUGGGCUCUAUUAAGUGUCAAUGGCUGGAAACUGUUCUUACCCUCCAUUUCUCUCUCCCACUCUUUGAGAUGAUUAUUUCACACCUUCCUCUCUUUUCUCAAACCUCCAACACCUACUCCAACAUCCUUACACUCAGCUAGUGGCCUUGCUUUCCAUUUCAUUAAGAAAAUAAAAGCAAUCAGCAGAGAACCUUCUCCCAAUACCUCACCUACCCACUUAAUUGUACCUAUGCCCAUAUAUUCUGCCUUCCCAUUUGUGACUACUGAAGUGUCUGUAUUUCGACCUAAGACCCAUCCCUCCACUGGUAUAUUAGAUACACUAUCCCUUCCCAACUACUCAUACUCAAAGCCAUGGCUCCAGCAAUUCUCCCUUCUCUCUAAUGGGUCAUCACAUUUUCCCUCUUUACUAGAUCAUUCCUAUCAGUAUACAAACAACCUAUAAUUUCUCCCAUGUUUAAAAAACAAAGACCUGGAGCGGUGGCUUGCACCUGUAUUCCCAGCACUUUGGGAGGCUGAAGCAGGCAGAUUGCUUGAUCCCAGGAGUUUGAGACCAGCCUGGGCAACACAGCAAAACCCUGUUGUCAGAUCCUGGGGUCUGGGUCCAGCCUAUGCGGAAUCCAAGGGCAGUGGGUGGAUGGGCAGAAAGAACACUUGGGGGGCUGUAGGCAGGUGAAAGAUGAUUUUAUUCAGCAGCACCUCUCAUCAACAGCUUUCUCAUACUGUCCACCUUUAUCUCGGCUGUCUGCUCUGGCUCUGCGGCUCCUGCCACCCUCACAAUGCAGUUGCAUGGCUGGCUCUCCCUUGCCUUCAGGGUCAGCAGCUUAACUUCUUCUCUCUCUGGGCUCCGGCGCGAGCCAUGCUGUGGCUCCCAUCUGUCUGUCUGCAGGAUGGACAGCUCUGGUUCUCUCUCUCUUUCUCUGGGCACCAGUGUGCCCACCAUGUUAAGCCAUGUUGAGCCGAGCCGAGCCCCAAGAGCCAUGUCUGUCAUGCACAGUGUCAACAGGGCAGUUAUAUCUUUUACAGACAACAGUGGCUCAGGGCCAUGUAUGAACUUACACAAACAGGUUACAUAGCAAGUGGAGGGGUGCCCUUGCGAGCCAAACUCUCCAAGUCAUGCAGGCCUGGAUAUCCGCCUUGGCCUAUUCCUUGACCAAAGCACAUCCAUGUACCUUACACCUGUCUCUACAAAAAAUACAAAAAUUAGCCAGGUGUGGUAGCAUGUCCCUGUAGUCCCAACUACUUGGGAGGCUGAGGCAAGAGGAUCGCUUGAGCCUGAGAGGUCGAGGCUGCAGUGAGCUGUGAUUGUGCCACUGCACUCCAGCCUGGGCAACAGAGUGAGACCUCGUCUUAAACACCAACAAACACGACAACAACAAAACUGUUCCCAUUAUCUAGACAUACCUGCCGCUGGAUUUCAUACAGGCAUCUCAAACCUAAAAGUUCCCAAAAUCAACACCUAAUCUCUUUUCCCACACACUCCAAGCCCCUCCAUUUAGCAUCUUUUCUCCUGCCUUCUUUGUCUUGGAUAAUGGCAAAGCCACCUACCUGGUCACCCUCACUAGCUCAUGAAGUCAUCUUUUACUUCUUCUUCCCUUUUACCCAUAAAGUUGCUAAAUCUUGUCAAUCCAACAACCUAAACAUCUCUAAUUUAUCUUCUUUUUAUCCUCACUGAACUUGCCAGAAUUAGCUCUUGCCUGGAUAGCAGCUAUCCCUUAGCCUUGCCCAAAUGGUUCCUGGAAUUUUCUUGCUAAAACACAGGUGCGAUCCACACCAUUCCUCCUCACAAACAGCUCUGUAAGUUUUCCAUUUGCUUUGGAAUAAAGCAAAACCCCAUUAGUGUGGUAUUCAAAGCCUUCAUCUACUUCUAGUCUUUGCAGGCAUGGCUUCUGCUGCUCUUCCUAACACAUCUUGUAUUCCAGCCACCAGUCACGAAAUCCCUCUCUGUGCAUCUAUCCUUGCUGGUCUCUCUGCCUGGAGUGCUCUUUUCUCCAUUUUUACCAUUUGAGAAUUUCUAUUAUUAAAAACAAUAGAAAUAACGGUGAUUUCUGAACGCUUGUUAUAUGCCAAGUAUUAUAUUAAAUGUUAUGUAUGUAUUAUUUCUUUUAAUUUUCAGAGAAAUGAAGUAACUUGCCCUGGUUACAAUGGCUGAAAAGGGACUGAUCCAGGAUUUGAACUUGGUUCUGCUGUUGAAGAGCAUGAUCAAGCAGUAUUGGUGACGUUUUCUCUGACUCUUCAUUAUUUUUAUUUUUAAUUUCUUUUAUUUAUUUAUUUUGUAUUUUUAGUAGAGACGGGGUUUCACCAUGUUGACCGGGCUGGUCUUGAACUCCUGACCUCAGGUGACCUGCCCGCCUCGGCCUCCCAAAGUGCUGGGAUUACAGGCUUGAGCCACCGAGGGAGGUGACUCUUCAUUAUAAUGGCUUUUGUGUGUUCCAAAAACAGGUUUUUGUUUUUUGUUUUUUUAAGCUUACUAUAUAGAAACAGUUUUAUUACAGAAUUUAAGCACACAGACUCUGAAGUCACACUCCCCAGGUUUGAGUCUUGGAUCUGUGGCUUGCCAGCUGUGUGACCUCAUGUCUCCUCUCUUUAUCUUUGAAAUGGGAAUGAUAAUAGCACCAGCCUCAUAGGACUGUUGUGAAGAUGAAAUGAGUCAACCAAUGUAAAGGGUUUUGCACAGUGCCUGUUAUGUAACUCUUGUCCAGCAGACACAUCCAGUCCUGUGUUGUGUCUAUGUUCUGUGUCCCUUCCUAGAUUCUGUCCUCUGGGAGGGGAGAGAUCCCCUUCAUUCAUUUUCCAAUCCUCCUGUACCUGGCACAACAGACCUUUCGCCAGAUUGGGUGCUCCACAAACAUUUGUCAAAUUGAAUUUGUAAAUCUGCAGGUGUUUGUGCUGGACAAUGAGACACUUACAAGUUCCCGGUCUAUGCUAUGCUUUAAUUACCUACGAAUCUUGUGAAGAAAAUGGUUCUUGAAUCAGGCUGGUCAUCUAAAAGCUUUUGCCCUGUUUUUAAAAAAUCCACGUCAAUUCUUUGUCAUUUCUUGGUGCUAGAAACAUUUCAAAUCUCUUUGAGCUAAAUGAGGUGAUGGCUAUCCAGAAUGUCCUGGUUUGAUCAUAAUAUAUUGUAUGCAUGUAUCAAAAUAUCAAAUGUAUCCCAUAAAUAUGUACAAUUAUCAUGUAUCAAAUACAAAAAUUAAAAAAAAAAAUCCAAGUCA